GACGAACGCUGGCGGCGUGCUUAACACAUGCAAGUCGAACGGGUCUGCCCUGUUUUUUGCGGGGUGGGUCAGUGGCGAACGGGUGAGUAACACGUGAGUAACCUGCCCCUCACUUCUGGAUAACCGCUUGAAAGGGUGGCUAAUACGGGGUGUUCUGGCUGUGCCGCAUGGUGUGGCUGGGAAAGAUUCACUUUUGUGGUGUUUUGGUGGGGGAUGGGCUCGCGGCCUAUCAGCUUGUUGGUGGGGUGAUGGCCUGCCAAGGCUUUGACGGGUAGCCGGCCUGAGAGGGUGGGCGGUCACACUGGGACUGAGAUACGGCCCGGACUCCUGCGGGAGGCAGCAGUGGGGGGUAUUGCACAAUGGGCGGAAGCCUGAUGCAGCGACGUCGCGUGAGGGAUGGAGGCCUGCGGGUUGUGAACCUCUUUCGCCGGUGAAGAAGGUCCUGCUCUUUGUGGUGGGGUUGACGGUAGCCGGGUUAUGAAGCGCCGGCUAACUACGUG
rnacentral:rRNA from 1 species